AGUAACGCGUAAAGAACUUGCCUUACAGACUGGGACAACAUUUGGAAACGAAUGCUAAUACCGGAUAUUAUGAUUGGGUCGCAUGAUCUGAUUAUGAAAGCUAUAUGCGCUGUGAGAGAGCUUUGCGUCCCAUUAGUUAGUUGGUGAGGUAACGGCUCACCAAGACGAUGAUGGGUAGCCGGCCUGAGAGGGUGAACGGCCACAAGGGGACUGAGACACGGCCCUUACUCCUACGGGAGGCAGCAGUGGGGAAUAUUGGACAAUGGACCAAAAGUCUGAUCCAGCAAUUCUGUGUGCACGAAGAAGUUUUUCGGAAUGUAAAGUGCUUUCAGUUGGGAAGAAGUCAGUGACGGUACCAACAGAAGAAGCGACGGCUAAAUACGUGCCAGCAGCCGCGGUAAUACGUAUGUCGCAAGCGUUAUCCGGAUUUAUUGGGUGUAAAGCGCGUCUAGGCGGCUUAGUAAGUCUGAUGUGAAAAUGCGGGGCUCAACCCCGUAUUGCGUUGGAAACUGCUAAACUAGAGUACUGGAGAGGUAGGCGGAACUACAAGUGUAGAGGUGAAAUUCGUAGAUAUUUGUAGGAAUGCCGAUGGGGAAGCCAGC
rnacentral:rRNA from 1 species